UCACCAUCUAGCUCACAACCCCCUAAAAACUAAUAUUUAUAUUGGAUAUGCUGAUAGACGUGAACAUACAGAUGGACGAUGAAUCAGUUGCAAAGACGAGGGUCUGAUUCUCCUAUCACAGGGCACAGUCAAAUGGUGUAUAUCUGCUGGGGAAAGAGACAGCAGAUACAUCUCAGCUCAGAAACAGAGAGAAAUUCUUUGGCACAGUGGUCUGACUCAGCUCAGUGGCAGUCUGUGUUCAUCAGCUGGAAAGGAGUCCCUCUUCCAUUCAUGAGGACAAGCUCACUUGCUAGCUGGCAUCUUCCUCAAAGUUCUGCCAUUUGCCACUUGGAGAUCAGUGCCUCAAUCAUCACUGCAAUGAAGUAACCCCCACUGACCUUUAUAGCUGUCGCACAGGAUCCUCAAUUGACAAAUCCAGCAUUUCACCUUUGUAUUACAGCUAGGGCUUAUGCGUCUGGUAUUAGAAAACACUGCUUUUGCAAAAUAUGUCAUUCAUUAUUUGACAUCUACAAGACUUCAUUCAACCCAGCUCUUGUGCGGCUGGAUGUUGGCACUGCCAACACAUAUUCACUCAUUCUCUUCUUCUGCAAGAAGAUUUCUCCUCCUUAGGCAGAGGUAUUUAGUGCACUCCUCUCUCCAAUUAAAUUAUAGUAAUUGGGGCUAUAUGUGAAUUCUCUCCUUCCUGUCU
rnacentral:lncRNA from 1 species